UUCGAACGACAGGGGUGCCUGCCGCGGUCGGCGGGCUGAGAUCACACCCUUAGAACCUGAUCCGGUUCGUACCGGCGAAGGGAGUUCCGUAUGACCUGCC
rnacentral:ncRNA from 2 species